rnacentral:lncRNA from 1 species
CACAAUUAUGAAAGUCUGUUCUAAAAAUUAUAGAGUUGGCUGUUUUACUAAAAGUAUUUUUCUUCUCAUGGAAAAAUGGAAAAGAUGGAAAGAAGUGUGUCAGAAAGAAAAGGAAGUGGCCAGAGCUGGUAGAGGAGAAUGAAAGACGAAGAACAGAACCAAAGAACCAGAAAAGAAUGAGAUGAGAGAGAAGGAAUAGAAGGCAUAUGAGAUAUGCUAUCUGAACACCUCCAGCAUAUAAAAUUGGGACAUCCCCCUGACCACAUCUCAAAGCUUUUUCUUCUCUAUAUAUUUGGAAGAAGGAAGAAUUUAUAGCACACCCACUUCUGGGCCACUCUGCGCUGAAGACUUUUCAAUUACUGUCCAGUUUCCAUACUUAUUUUCACAUAUGCAUUAGGUGUCUUUCCUGUGGGACCAGUAUCUGGAGCUUUGAUACUGCCACCCCCCCACUGAUCCUGUGUCACUAUGCUGACCUCCAUGAUGAUUCAGAGAAUGUCAUUUUCUUUUAAAGUCCCAUCUUAAUUCUCCAGAGAACCACUAAGAAAAUUGUAAAGAUAUGGAAAAACAAGGAAUAACAUGACUAUGAGUAUCUCUUCUCCUGCAACUCAGAAUUCAUGGUGAUCAAGUUCCUACUAAAACAAUAGGUUCUCUUCCUCAGGAUAUGAACUGGAAGUUCUCAAGAUUUCAUUGUUGGAAGCAUUAACAGGAAUAAUACCCCUGAUUUAGUCUGUUGUGUGCUGCUAUAACAGAAUUUCUGAGGUCGAAUAAUUUAUAUGAACAGAAGUUUAUUUUCUCAGGAUUCUGGUGGCUUGGAAUUCCAAGAUCAAGUCUCCAGUAUCUGGCAAGAGCCAUCUUGCUGUGUAAUCACAUGAUGGAAGGCAGAGAGGCAAAGAGUGUCUCUCUCCAGUAGAAUGUUGCAGAAAUUGGAAGACCUCCUAAAGCUUAGACUGAACUCAGAAUAUCACACACAUUCUAGUAAUCAAAGUAAGUCACAAGGCCAGCCCAGAUGCAAGGAAAGGAGAAGUGGACUCAACUUCUUGAUGGGAGGAGUGGUAAAGUCCCAUUGCUCAGGACAUGUGGAACAGGAAUGAUGCUUGCAGCUGUCUCUGGAAAUAAUCUAUCAGUUUUUCCUUGAGAAACUUAUUUAAUCACCUGAUUUCCCCUAGCUUUGUCUGCAAAGAAAAUAACUUCAUGCAUUGCUUAAUGAUGAGAAAUGGAUCGGUGGGUGAUUUUGUUGUGUUAACAUGGUAGUAUACUCACACAAACUGGGACCGUAGAGCCUACUACAUGCCUAGGUCAUAUGGUAUGGCCUAUUGCUCCUUGGCUACAAACCUGUAUAGCAUGGUACUGAAUACCAUAGGCAAAUGUAAGAUGGUAUUUGUGUAUCUAACUGUAGAAAAGAAAAAAUAAAACUGUGGUAUAAAAGAUAAAAUUGGUG